UAACCGGCUAAUCCUUGUCACUGAACAUGACAGGUUUUCAUUCACAUAUCAGAUGAAUAAURUAGUUUGUUGUACGGCUGAUUGACCUGACAGAGAAGUCAAAGACCUGUGUGCUCCAGUUUCUGUGGCAAGUAAAAUGGAGUAUUUUAUUUUAAAUCUGCAGUGAUGAACAGUUCACAGCGUCAAUAACAGCAGUAGAACUUCAGGUUUCACCCAAACCCACCCCCCUCCCAGAACAGACCCCAUAGGCCAACUCUUGCCUUCAUCACUGCCAGGUGAAACCAGACUACCUAAUCUAAAGUAAAGUGCCAAGGUUACAGAUAGAAACAACCCCAUUGUGAGAUGCCACCAAAACAGCCCAGAUAGUGGGCUAACGGGCGAGGAACUAAAGAACRUAUUACUAAAAAAUUCAGAACAGUAAAGGGUUCAAAAAGUUCUAUAGUUAACAUCUGAGGAGGCUAAUUAUCAUAGACCAUGUUAGAGGUAAUGGGUGUAGGUAACAGAUUUAGUAGUGAAAUCCAACCAACGGACRGACCUUAAGUAUCCCAACGCACUGGACAUCGAGAGAUCAGAGGUUGCAGGACAAAAUAAAAUAGAGGAUUAGGAUUACAAAUGAUAUUGAUAGUAAUAAUAAUACAACAAAAAGUCAGAAUAAAAAAAUUAAUUUAAGGAAUAAAAAGGAAUGUUGAAUAAAAUUUGGUUAAUGAAAAUAAGAGACGGUAUUCUACUGCCGUUASAGAGGGUAUGUUCAUGUAAAAUCAGAGGAAUACAGAUUUUCAGCCUGUACUCUUAUUGCCAUGGGCCCCUCAGGCAAGCGCCCCUGUUGCCCACAUGUUCAAUCCGGCACUGUGGCACAGCCAGUUUGUCUGUUCAGUAGAUAGUCUUUAUGAGGUAAGUAAAAUUAAAAGGGGCGAGUAAGGAGAGAGCAAAGCAAA